rnacentral:rRNA from 1 species
AGACACGGCCCAACCUCCUACGGGAGGCAGCAGUAGGGAAUCUUCCACAAUGGGCGAAAGCCUGAUGGAGCAACGCCGCGUGGGUGAAGAAGGUCUUCGGAUCGUAAAACCCUGUUGUUAGAGAAGAAAGUGCGUGAGAGUAACUGUUCACGUUUCGACGGUAUCUAACCAGAAAGACACGGCUAACUACGUGCCAGCAGCCGCGGUAAUACGUAGGUGGCAAGCGUUAUCCGGAUUUAUUGGGCGUAAAGGGAACGCAGGCGGUCUUUUAAGUCUGAUGUGAAAGCCUUCGGCUUAACCGGAGUAGUGCAUUGGAAACUGGGAGACUUGAGUGCAGAAGAGGAGAGUGGAACUCCAUGUGUAGCGGUGAAAUGCGUAGAUAUAUGGAAGAACACCAGUGGCGAAAGCGGCUCUCUGGUCUGUAACUGACGCUGAGGUUCGAAAGCGUGGGUAGCAAACAGGAUUAGAUACCCUGGUAGUCCACGCCGU